GCUCCUCGAUUUCUCCCAGGAAGCCGAAGAGCGUCCGCAUCUGCUCGCUGGUUACCCGCCGAGGAGAGAUUGGUGACUUGGAUGACGGAGAGACAAUCCACUGGUAUCCUGCAUCAUCUGUCUUCCUCAAAGAGAAAGAAAGAUCCUAACUAAGACUCUUAUGACUGAUGGCCAGAACUGUCCACUGUAGCAAAGCAGCUAUACUUUGUUUGAUUGAAAUGAUAUGAACAGCAUUUGAAAGAAUGCACUGUCAGCACGGGAUCGAUGGCCACUGCUCCCCCGUCGACUUUGCUUCCACCUCUUGCCGAGCUGGAGUUCAGCACUCCAUGGGAGAGCGACCGGGGAUCGGUUUAUCACAUCUGCACCCCCGAUAGAUUGAUCACUACCCGCCCUUCCAGUCCUAUGAUUCUACAGUAUUAACAGAAGUAUCAUAGGUUUUUUUUUUGGUUUUUUUUCCCUGCUUACGUCUGCACACGCACUGGGAUGUCAGUGACACGUGUUUCUGUAUAUUAUGUGAGUAUUCUUCUGCUGCACUGUUACUGCUGUUUUCUUGUGCUUUGCGAUUAUUUUAACAUUUUGCCUCAAAAUGAGUGGUUCAAAUAAAAGACAACUUAUGUAUUAUUUCAAUGCACAGUGGGAAGAAUCCUAUUGUUUUAUUGAAAAUAAAGGGAAAUGUAUGCUUAUUGUGCAGUGGUACUGUUGCAGUGCUGAAAGAACAAUGUCGAACGCCAUUUCCAAACUAAUCACGGCUCUUUUCACAUUAGCCAUCCACUUAAAUCUGAGUUGAGAGAGGUUUGAUUUGAGUUGAUUAUUUUUCUUUUAUCUGCCCAGCAAUCUAUUUUCACUAGACAAGUGGUAAAGUCUAAAAGUGCUACUGUUGCUUGCUUUAAAAUUGCUCAUCUGCUCGCAAAGAAGAAAAAACCCUUUCAAAAUGGUGAAUUGUUGAAGGAAGCAUUUUUGACUGGUGCUGAUUGCCUGCUUCAAGGCUUUUCUAAGAAGCAUGAGAUUUUGUCGGCAAUACAAGGCUUGCAGUUAUCAGACAACAGUUACGAGGAGGAUACAUGCAAUUUCAAGCGACAUGCAAACUCAGCUAAAGGAUGACUUAGAAAUAUGUGACUGGUUUUCACUGCAGUUUGAUGAGUCGCCAGAUAUAUUGGAUACAGCGCAGUUGGCAGUUAUGGUGAGGAUGGUAUUUAGUGACUUCACCCUAAAAGAAGUUACUAAAAGUAUUGCCUAUGAAAGGGUGAACAAAGGGUGAGGACAUCUGUAAUUUAUUCAAAUCAUACGCAACAUCAAUUAGUAUGCCACUACACAAGUUGUCUGUGAUCACCACUGAUGUGGCACCAGCAAUGAUGGGCAGCACCAAUGGAUUCAUUGCACUCUGCAAGAAGAAUGUAUCCUUUCCGAACUUUGUCUUAUUAUUGCAUUAUCCACCAAGAAGCUUUGUGUGUCAAAGUUCUCUCUUUUCAACACAUCAUGAAUGUCAUUAUUAAAAUAGCGACAGAGUCCUGUGGCACCUUAUUGACUAACAGACAUAUUGGAGCAUAAGCUUUCUUGGGUGAA